rnacentral:rRNA from 1 species
UACGGAGGGUGCGAGCGUUGUCCGGAAUCACUGGGCGUAAGGACGCGCUAGUGGCGCUGUGGAAGUCUGCGGUGAAAGCCCGGCGCUCAACGCCGGGUCGGCCGUGGAUACUCUCGGGCUCGAGCUCACUAGAGGCAGAUGGAAUUCCAGGUGUAGCGGUGGAAUGCGUAGAGAUCCGGAAGAACACCGGUGGCGAAGGCGGUCUGCUGGGGUGAUGCUGACACUGAUGCGCGACAGCGUGGGGAGCAAACAGG